rnacentral:rRNA from 1 species
CGAAUGCUGACAUAAGUAACGAUAAAGCGGGUGAAAAGCCCGCUCGCCGGAAGACCAAGGGUUCCUGUCCAACGUUAAUCGGGGCAGGGUGAGUCGACCCCUAAGGCGAGGCCGAAAGGCGUAGUCGAUGGGAAACAGGUUAAUAUUCCUGUACUUGGUGUUACUGCGAAGGGGGGACGGAGAAGGCUAUGUUGGCCGGGCGACGGUUGUCCCGGUUUAAGCGUGUAGGCUGGUUUUCCAGGCAAAUCCGGAAAAUCAAGGCUGAGGCGUGAUGACGAGGCACUACGGUGCUGAAGCAACAAAUGCCCUGCUUCCAGGAAAAGCCUCUAAGCAUCAGGUAACAUCAAAUCGUACCCCAAACCGACACAGGUGGUCAGGUAGAGAAUACCAAGGCGCUUGAGAGAACUCGGGUGAAGGAACUAGGCAAAAUGGUGCCGUAACUUCGGGAGAAGGCACGCUGAUAUGUAGGUGAAGUCCCUCGCGGAUGGAGCUGAAAUCAGUCGAAGAUACCAGCUGGCUGCAACUGUUUAUUAAAAACACAGCACUGUGCAAACACGAAAGUGGACGUAUACGGUGUGACGCCUGCCCGGUGCCGGAAGGUUAAUUGAUGGGGUCAGCGCAAGCGAAGCUCUUGAUCGAAGCCCCGGUAAACGGCGGCCGUAACUAUAACGGUCCUAAGGUAGCGAAAUUCCUUGUCGGGUAAGUUCCGACCUGCACGAAUGGCGUAAUGAUGGCCAGGCUGUCUCCACCCGAGACUCAGUGAAAUUGAACUCGCUGUGAAGAUGCAGUGUACCCGCGGCAAGACGGAAAGACCCCGUGAACCUUUACUAUAGCUUGACACUGAACAUUGAGCCUUGAUGUGUAGGAUAGGUGGGAGGCUUUGAAGUGUGGACGCCAGUCUGCAUGGAGCCGACCUUGAAAUACCACCCUUUAAUGUUUGAUGUUCUAACGUGGACCCGUGAUCCGGGUUGCGGACAGUGUCUGGUGGGUAGUUUGACUGGGGCGGUCUCCUCCUAAAGAGUAACGGAGGAGCACGAAGGUUGGCUAAUCCUGGUCGGACAUCAGGAGGUUAGUGCAAUGGCAUAAGCCAGCUUGACUGCGAGCGUGACGGCGCGAGCAGGUGCGAAAGCAGGUCAUAGUGAUCCGGUGGUUCUGAAUGGAAGGGCCAUCGCUCAACGGAUAAAAGGUACUCCGGGGAUAACAGGCUGAUACCGCCCAAGAGUUCAUAUCGACGGCGGUGUUUGGCACCUCGAUGUCGGCUCAUCACAUCCUGGGGCUGAAGUAGGUCCCAAGGGUAUGGCUGUUCGCCAUUUAAAGUGGUACGCGAGCUGGGUUUAGAACGUCGUGAGACAGUUCGGUCCCUAUCUGCCGUGGGCGCUGGAGAACUGAGGGGGGCUGCUCCUAGUACGAGAGGACCGGAGUGGACGCAUCACUGGUGUUCGGGUUGUCAUGCCAAUGGCACUGCCCGGUAGCUAAAUGCGGAAGAGAUAAGUGCUGAAAGCAUCUAAGCACGAAACUUGCCCCGAGAUGAGUUCUCC